rnacentral:rRNA from 1 species
GUAUCCUGGCUCAGAUUGAACGCUGGCGGCAGGCCUAACACAUGCAAGUCGAACGGUAACAGGAAGCAGCUUGCUGCUUUGCUGACGAGUGGCGGACGGGUGAGUAAUGUCUGGGAAACUGCCUGAUGGAGGGGGAUAACUACUGGAAACGGUAGCUAAUACCGCAUAACGUCGCAAGACCAAAGAGGGGGGACCUUGGCCUCUUGCCAUCGGAUGUGCCCAGAUGGGAUUAGCUAGUAGGG